UUAUUGGAGAGUUUGAUCCUGGCUCAGGAUGAACGCUGGCGGCGUGCCUAAUACAUGCAAGUCGAGCGAAUGGAUUAAGAGCUUGCUCUUAUGAAGUUAGCGGCGGACGGGUGAGUAACACGUGGGUAACCUGCCCAUAAGACUGGGAUAACUCCGGGAAACCGGGGCUAAUACCGGAUAACAUUUUGAACCGCAUGGUUCGAAAUUGAAAGGCGGCUUCGGCUGUCACUUAUGGAUGGACCCGCGUCGCAUUAGCUAGUUGGUGAGGUAACGGCUCACCAAGGCAACGAUGCGUAGCCGACCUGAGAGGGUGAUC
rnacentral:rRNA from 1 species